rnacentral:lncRNA from 1 species
GGAAGGUUCUGGAUUGCAGGGAGAAAGGCAAUUAAUGAGUGAUUACUAUUUAAAGACAAAACCCCUGUCAAAACAGCUUGACCAAAAAAAAAUGUGAGUUUUUUUUGUUGUUUUUUUUUUUAACUCACAACUUGCAGUAGUGCUGCCAGCAAAAAUAGUGGGUGGUAAUUCUGCCAGCUAAAAGGGUGCCGAAAUGCAGUUGGGUGAGAAGAACAACUCUGUCCCCUCCUCCAUUCCCUUUCAGCAGUGACUGAGUGGGCUACCUCCCAGGCCUGUUCCUGCAGUGCCCCUUGGUUCUUCAUGAGACUAUUCAGGGUGUUUUUCUGGGCAAGUAACUCCAAAGGCAAGCAUGAGAGCAGCUCGAAGACUUAAGAACAUGUCACAGGACUGGGAGGAAUGGAAGGUGUCACAUCAGAAUAACAAUAGCUCUUGACAAAUGGAUGCACAGCCAUUCCCAUAAACAGGAAUUUCCCUGCAGGAAAACUUCCUCCCAUGGGAUCUUCAAUUUGAUGAAAGCAAUUACAGGACAAAGAGGCUGAUUUCCCCUGCAUCUGCUGAGGUGAAGCCAGUGCUAAGGUUUCACUUAUACUGAAGAAAUUCUUGGUUUCCUCCAGAACAGAACACCCUGAAAUAUGAAGCUAAUCUCAUCAGAGGGACAGGCACCUUACCAAGAUGAAAAUUCCUUAAGAUUUAUUUGCCCAGCCUUAAAGCUUAGACAACUUAUUAAGAGUUACAAUAGUUUUGUCAAAAAUGACAGCCUUCAGUGCUUCACAGAAGCCAUAAAAAAAACAAAGUCCAAUACCGAUGUGUUUUCGUUAACUGAAAAUAUCAGUGACCAACAAAUACAAAGUUUCAUUAGAAAUCAUCAAGAAAAACCAGGCUUGGGAAGAUAAAUUCCUUGAUGCCCAUGUUUUAAAAAUGAUCCUGUCUGUGGAUUAAACUGCAAGUCAUUUGGGCCAUUGCUCAGCCGAAAAGACAAAUGUUUCAGAGUAGAAGGCCACUCUCCUCUGGCCUCAAUGAAAACGCAUGUCACCUUCCGGCUACAGACCCAGGUGGC